AAAGCAUAUUGCACUCUUUGGAAUUCCGGAGAGUAUGCCUGUUUGAGUACCUAUUAAUUCUCAAUCCUUGUGAUUGGAUGUGAGUCGUGUUCUUUUGGACUGACUUGAAAUGCAAGACCGAAAGUGGUUGUUGAACUGCUUGAAGGAAGUGUAAUUGAAUGAGUUCUACUCAGCCUUUUCAUAGUACUUUGCGCAUGCUUGAUAGCCGAUUCUUUUGGACACUAAAGAGCGUUAAAAACACUUGAACCUUGUUCACAAAUCAGGUAGGAAGACCCGCUGAACUUAA
rnacentral:misc_RNA from 1 species